UUCUCACUGAAGUUAAAAGCAAAUUUGGGUUUGCAAGCUCUGCAGCUCUUCAAGUCUUUGAUGACACAGACACCAAUGUGGAGGAGGACAUCUUCCAAGAACUGAUUGAAGCCAAUCCACAUUUAUGUUUAACUGUUAAAUGUCUGGAAGAACUUUCUGCUGGCCUGCCAGAGGUGAAUACACCAACAAGAUCCUCGACCCCCAGCACAUGCACUGAUACUCU